AUGCUUUCACCCACUCCUGACUCCACCAGUCCAUGUGAAAAGGACUCCUGGGAAGCUUCAGGGGGAUUGAAUGGCGUGUCAGGAGGGUUUGUGUAUGGAGUUGAGUCAUGGUGCUAUGUGUUUGGCGGUGGCACCAGGUUCACCAUCCUCGGUCAGCCCAAGGCCACCCCCUCAGUCACUCUGUUCCCACCAUCAUCUGAGGAGAUGCAAACCAACAAGGCUCCAAUGUUGUGUCUCAUAAAUGACUUCUAUCUGGGCACCGUGUCUAUGAACUGGAAGGUAGAUGACACCCCCAUCACUCAGGGAGUUGAGAGCACCAAGCCCUCCAAACAGAGCAAUAGCAAGUACAUGGCCAGCAGCUGCCUGUCCCUGACACCUGACCAGUGGAAAUCUCACGAGGUCUACAGCUGCCAGGUCACACAUGAAGAGAGCAUUCUGGAGAAGACAGUGACCACUGAACAGUGUUCUUAG